rnacentral:rRNA from 1 species
AGAGUUUGAUCCUGGCUCAGGAUGAACGCUAGCGGCAGGCUUAACACAUGCAAGUCGAGGGGUAGAGGUUGCUUGCAACCUUGAGACCGGCGCACGGGUGCGUAACGCGUAUGCAACCUACCUUUUACAGAGGGAUAGCCCAGAGAAAUUUGGAUUAAUACCUCAUAGUAUAUAUCUUUCGCAUGUUAGGUAUAUUAAAGUUCCAACGGUAAAGGAUGGGCAUGCGUCCUAUUAGCUAGAUGGUAAGGUAACGGCUUACCAUGGCUACGAUAGGUAGGGGUCCUGAGAGGGAGAUCCCCCACACUGGUACUGAGACACGGACCAGACUCCUACGGGAGGCAGCAGUGAGGAAUAUUGGACAAUGGGCGCAAGCCUGAUCCAGCCAUGCCGCGUGCAGGAAGAAGCACCUAUGGUGUGUAAACUGCUUUUGUACAGGAAGAAACAUCCCGACGUGUCGGGACUUGACGGUACUGUAAGAAUAAGGAUCGGCUAACUCCGUGCCAGCAGCCGCGGUAAUACGGAGGAUCCAAGCGUUAUCCGGAAUCAUUGGGUUUAAAGGGUCCGUAGGCGGUUUGGUAAGUCAGUGGUGAAAGCCCGCAGCUCAACUGUGGAACGGCCAUUGAUACUGCCAGACUUGAAUUACAAGGAAGUAACUAGAAUAUGUAGUGUAGCGGUGAAAUGCUUAGAUAUUACAUGGAAUACCAAUUGCGAAGGCAGGUUACUACUUGUGGAUUGACGCUGAUGGACGAAAGCGUGGGGAGCGAACAGGAUUAGAUACCCUGGUAGUCCAA